GGUUUUUCAUCGUUUUGAGGAGUGAUAAUAUCUUCGAUGUAUUGCUAAUACGCAUUUCGUUGUUUUCUUUGUACAUCUUUCUUUAGGGCUUUAUAUUCUUCUUUUACUUUAGGAUCUUGUGAUUUCUUCAUUCUUUUGUAGAGUCGUUGUUGUCUUUUUGUCAGCUUUUUCAGAUUACCAUUUAUCCAUGGGUGUUUAUUUUUCUUCUUGGAUUUUUUGUGUGGUAUAUGAUCUUUUAUUCCUUUGAGCAGAGCAUUCUUUAUUCUUACCCACAUUUCCUUUGCAUUUAUAAUUUUAGAUCUGUACAUUUGACUCAGUUGUUUAUGUAGUGCUGUAAGGUCUUCUUUGAAACCUUCCCAAUUUGCUUUCUUAUAUUGUGGUAUGAGUCUUUCUUGUUCCUUAAAUGUGAUGGUAUUCAUGUCAAACUCUGUGAAGACCAUAUCAUGGUCUGAUAUACCCGGGAGGACAUCUACCCUCUGAACUAGACUUGGUGAAUUAGUGAGAAUGAGAUCUAGUGUGUUUUCUUUCCUUGUAUUUUC
rnacentral:lncRNA from 1 species